rnacentral:rRNA from 1 species
CGUAGGGUGCAAGCGUUAAUCGGAAUUACUGGGCGUAAAGCGUGCGCAGGCGGUUAUGUAAGACAGUUGUGAAAUCCCCGGGCUCAACCUGGGAACUGCAUCUGUGACUGCAUAGCUAGAGUACGGUAGAGGGGGAUGGAAUUCCGCGUGUAGCGGUGAAAUGCGUAGAUAUGCGGAGGAACACCGAUGGCGAAGGCAAUCCCCUGGACCUGUACUGACGCUCAUGCACGAAAGCGUGGGGAGCAAACAGGAUUAGAUACCCUGGUAGCCCACGCCCUAAACGAUGUCAACUGGUUGUUGGGUCUUCACUGACUCAGUAACGAAGCUAACGCGUGAAGUUGACCGCCUGGGGAGUACGGCCGCAAGGUUG